CUUUAAUAGUGGACAUUCUCCAAAUGUGAGCUGAGUCCAAUUAAUGGCAGGUGGAAAAUCAAAGGAACUGCAGAUGUUCUGAGGUCUGGAGGCACAGAUCGUUUUGUAUAAACAUCACUUCCCUCACUGAAACAGAACAGGGAGGAGGCACACACUCAGCAUUUCAGGAACAGCUUAUUCCCCUUUGCCAUCUGAUUCCUGAAUGGACAAUCAACUACUGCAUUAAGAGAUGCCCAUGUACAGAGAGGCUGCGCCCCUGGUCCUUGAAUCAAGAGAAGAUCUUCA